AUGAGAAGCAGAGGUCAUGUUAAUAAAUGCUCAUUACGAAGCUGCUCUAACACAGAAGCAAGGGAAAUACUCUGGGCUCGCCACCUACAGUCCCAAUCAGAGUCGGCAGGUCAGUAUAAAUCUGAAGAACACCCACAUGUCCAAGUUUACACUCACCACUUCCCGAAUCUGACAAGCAUCCCCAGGUGGAGAAUUACAAACCUUCCAGAACCUGUGUUACUGACAAGGGUGUCUUAUUCCUCAGACACACUGGGAUACAAAAAUGGCCAAGAACAUCUGUUCAAAAAGCUCCUCCACAAAUGA
rnacentral:lncRNA from 1 species